rnacentral:lncRNA from 1 species
UCACCUUAAAACCUAUAUAUAUUCUCUUAAUCCUAGAGAAUAAUUGCCCAAAAACCCACGAAACCUCAAAAUUUACAAUCCAAUCCCCUUCCAUAAUUUUCUCUCGCAGAAAGACCCCUACUCGUGCAUUUUCACGCAAAACGGAGUGCCAGGUGAUUUUAAAAGGCUAGAACAUUAUGUAUAAAUUAACCUAUCUACGAUAAUGACAGUUUUCUCAAAAACCAUCCGUUGAACACAAACCCGUCAGUGUCAUUGACUCCGGCACAGUCGAACCAUCG